rnacentral:rRNA from 1 species
CCUACGGGAGGCAGCAGUGAGGAAUAUUGGACAAUGGGCGAGAGCCUGAUCCAGCCAUGCCGCGUGCAGGAAGACUGCCCUAUGGGUUGUAAACUGCUUUUGUACGGGAAGAAACCCUGCCACGUGUGGCGGGCUGACGGUACCGUAAGAAUAAGGAUCGGCUAACUCCGUGCCAGCAGCCGCGGUAAUACGGAGGAUCCAAGCGUUAUCCGGAAUCAUUGGGUUUAAAGGGUCCGUAGGUGGACGAUUAAGUCAGGGGUGAAAGUCUGCGGCUCAACCGUAGAAUUGCCUUUGAUACUGGUCGUCUUGAAUCAUUGUGAAGUGGUUAGAAUAUGUAGUGUAGCGGUGAAAUGCAUAGAUAUUACAUAGAAUACCGAUUGCGAAGGCAGAUCACUAACAAUGUAUUGACACUGAUGGACGAAAGCGUGGGGAGCGAACAG